rnacentral:rRNA from 1 species
GUAGGGAAUAUUGGUUAAUGGGCGAAAGCCUGAACCAGCAACGCCGCGUGCACGAUGACGGCCUUCGGGUUGUAAAGUUCUUUUGGCGGGGACGAUGAUGACGGUACCCGCAGAAUAAGCUCCGGCUAACUUCGUGCCAGCAGCCGCGGUAAUACGAAGGGAGCUAGCGUUGUUCGGAAUUACUGGGCGUAAAGGGCGCGUAGGCGGUCAAGCAAGUCAGAUGUGAAAGCCCUGGGCUCAACCCGGGAACUGCGUUUGAUACUGUUUGGCUUGAAUUCGGUAGAGGUGAGUGGAAUUCCCAGUGUAGAGGUGAAAUUCGUAGAGAUUGGGAAGAACACCAGUGGCGAAGGCGGCUCACUGGACCGACAUUGACGCUGAGGCGCGAAAGCGUGGGGAGCAAACAGGAUUAGAUACCCUGGUAGUCC